rnacentral:lncRNA from 1 species
CCUGUUUCAUGAACAGAACGAGGCCGGAAGCUUGGCUGUGAAGGCAAGUGUGAAUUGUCAAUUUGACAAACGCUUUUGCAAAGAUGACCAAUGCUUCUGUAAUCAGAAAAGAAAUGGUAAAGCUGCCUGCCAGGGUCCUGCUGGAAAUAGGGAUGACGUCAGAGAGAGCCUCAAACCGUCAGCGUUGGCCACCGCCUUGCACUGCGCCCAUGCUUGGAGCCCCGAGCCCCAGGCCAGGCCCUGCCCGCCCGCUCAGCCCUGCUCGCCAUGCUCCCGCCCUUGCUGCUGGGGCGGCCGGCAGGGAGCCCACCUGAGGCGCAGAGGGAGGCCAUUGCCGGGCGCUGCCACCAUGAGGAGUCCCGAGUCCUGGGGAGACAGGUCCUGUGCAGGGAACAGAGGGACGUGUCACUCACGCCUGCCGGGGCCAGAGCUCGACUCCGAGGGACCCCCAGUCACCCCAGUCCUCACCCGGUCUCCUCGCCACGGUUUAAAAUAGCCACACAUGUUCAAAAAUAGAGCAAGAAUGGGCACGUUUCUGAAGACUAUUUAAUGACUGGGACGGCUCAGGAUCCAAGUGGAACGAAAAAGUCUCAUGAUUCUCAUUGAAAAUUGAAUUAUCUCUGGGUGCCGGGAUUCCGGGUGAUUUUUUUUUUUUCUGAAUCCUUUUCAAAAUUGUCCAACGAGUCUGCAAUGAGCAUGGAUUUACCCUUCUCAG